rnacentral:rRNA from 1 species
GAUGAACGCUGGCGGCGUGCCUAAUACAUGCAAGUCGAGCGAACGGACGAGAAUCUUGCUUCUCUGAUGUUAGCGGCGGACGGGUGAGUAACACGUGGAUAACCUACCUAUAAGACUGGGAUAACUUCGGGAAACCGGAGCUAAUACCGGAUGAUCUUUUGAACCGCAUGGUUCAAACGUGAAAGACGGUCUUGCUGUCACUUAUAGAUGGAUCCGCGCUGCAUUAGCUAGUUGGUAAGGUAACGGCUUACCAAGGCAACGAUGCAUAGCCGACCUGAGAGGGUGAUCGGCCACACUGGAACUGAGACACGGUCCAGGGUCCUACGGGAGGCAGCAGUAGGGAAUCUUCCGCAAUGGGCGAAAGCCUGACGGAGCAACGCCGAGUGAGUGAUGAAGGUCUUGGGAGCGUAAAACUCUGUUAUGAGGGAAGAACAGAUGUGUAAGUAACUGUGCACAUAUUGACGGUAACUAAUCAGAAAGCAACGGCUAACUACGUG